UACGGGGGGAGCAAGCGUUGUUCGGAUUUACUGGGCGUAAAGGGCGCGUAGGCGGCCAGCACAAGUCAGUUGUGAAAUCUCCGAGCUUAACUCGGAAAGGUCAACUGAUACUGUGCGGCUAGAGUGCGGAAGGGGCAACUGGAAUUCUUGGUGUAGCGGUGAAAUGCGUAGAUAUCAAGAGGAACACCUGCGGCGAAGGCGGGUUGCUGGGCCGACACUGACGCUGAGGAGCGAAAGCGUGGGUAGCAAACAGG
rnacentral:rRNA from 1 species